AGCUUCCUACGGGAGGCAGCAGUGGGGAAUAUUGCACAAUGGGGGAAACCCUGAUGCAGCGACGCCGCGUGAGCGAUGAAGUAUUUCGGUAUGUAAAGCUCUAUCAGCAGGGAAGAAAAUGACGGUACCUGACUAAGAAGCCCCGGCUAACUACGUGCCAGCAGCCGCGGCAAUACGUAGGGGGCAAGCGUUAUCCGGAUUUACUGGGUGUAAAGGGGGCGCAGACGGCGAUGCAAGCCAGGAGUGAAAGCCCGGGGCCCAACCCCGGGACUGCUCUUGGAACUGCGUGGCUGGAGUGCAGGAGG
rnacentral:rRNA from 1 species